rnacentral:rRNA from 1 species
GUUUGAUGGCGACCGGCGCACGGGUGAGUAACGCGUAUCCAACCUGCCCUUUACUCGGGGAUAGCCUUCUGAAAGGAAGUUUAAUACCCGAUGAAUUCGUUUAGUCGCAUGGCUUGAUGAAGAAAGAUUUAUCAGUAAAGGAUGGGGAUGCGUCCCAUUAGCUUGUUGGCGGGGUAACGGCCCACCAAGGCGACGAUGGGUAGGGGUUCUGAGAGGAAGGUCCCCCACAUUGGAACUGAGACACGGUCCAAACUCCUACGGGAGGCAGCAGUGAGGAAUAUUGGUCAAUGGGCGCGAGCCUGAACCAGCCAAGUAGCGUGGAGGA